CAGGCACAUAAUUUUUAGCCAANGACACGUUGCNCAGCCACACCCCCACGGGUUUACAGCAGUGAUUGAAAUUANACAUAAGCGAAAGCUUGAUUUAGCCAUAGUUAGAUAAGGGCCGGUAAAUUUCGUGCCAGCCACCGCGGUUAAACGAGAGACCCAAAACAACAACCACACGGCGUAAAGAGUGAUCAGAGUUUUCAACCUAAGGAUAAACAUUUUCCCCGCUGUAAAAAGCUAAAGAAAACAAGAUAUACCUUGUCCUUAUAUUUUCUUUACCUCACGAAAGCAAGGACACAAACUGGGAUUAGAUACCCCACUAUGCCCUGCCAUAAACAAAGAUAGAAAAAAUACAAUCUAUCCGCCAAAGAACUAUGAGCAAAAUGCUUAAAACUUAAAGGACUUGGCGGCAUUCCACAUCAAUCUAGAGGAGCCCGUCCAAUAAUCGAUAAUACGCGUUGAACCAAACCACUUUUGGCCAAUCCAGCCUAUAUACCGCCGUCGCCAGCUAACCUUGUGAAAGAAAAAAAGUUAGCAAAACAGCCCCCACUAACACGUCAGGUCAAGGUGUAGCUAAUAAAGUGGAUGUGAUAGGCUACAUUUUUUUAUAAAAAAAACACGAACAGUACAAUGAAAUUUUGCACUAAAAGGUGAAUUUAGCAGUAAAACUAGAAAGAGUUCUAAUUUUAACACCGCCUGGAAUGCGCACACACGGCCGUC
rnacentral:rRNA from 1 species